GGGGGGGGGACGCCGGUUGCGCAGUGGUGGUGCUGCUGCGACUCGGGAAACUAUGGGAACCUGACCCGCGAGGACUCAGCAUCGAGCCACUGAUACAGCAGAAGCAGUCAUUGAUUGGGUUCACGAACUGUAAGAAAAUGGUGGAAAGUUACUGUAUUGGUGUCCCAUUGCUGCUGUGACAGAUUGCCACAGACUUAAUGACUUCAAACUGCACAUGUAAGCAUUCAAUUAUUACUAGAGUUGUUAAUAAUUAACACUACGUAGGACUAUUCUUACUAUUGCUCUGUCCUACAGAGAAAGGAGCAUUAUAAACCCAGCAUU
rnacentral:lncRNA from 1 species